AGACUGGACUCUUACUUCCUAUUUAUUUUGGCCCACCAUGAUCUCUGCAAUACAAGUGCUGCGUGACACUACUCAGGGAGAUGAGGUUAAUAGUUUUUAAGCAUGUGGUUUUCAUCCUAUUUUAUACCUUACUAUAAGGUAUAAAAGUAGAAAUAGGGACCUUGUAGAUCCAGUACUGACUUGGCAGAUAAGAGGAGAAAGCAGUCCAGAGGAGAAACCCUACUCAACGAG
rnacentral:lncRNA from 1 species